UGUCCUCCAUAGGAGGUCUAUAUUGAGCAGAUUCUUUUUGGUAUUGGGUGGUGGAACCGGAGCGUGCUCCUUCCACUCCAUGCAUUGACCUGGUAUUGCAGUGCUUCCAGGACCGGUGC
ensembl:snRNA U2 U2 spliceosomal RNA